GCUUACGGCCACACCACCCUGAACGCGCCCGAUCUCGUCCGAUCUCGGAAGCUAAGCAGGGUCAGGCCUGGUUAGUACUUGGAUGGGAGACCGCCUGGGAAUACCAGGUGCUGUAAGCU
rnacentral:rRNA from 1 species